AGAUUCUGGUUUAAAACAAUAUUAAUGUGCAGAUCGCCGAUUUUGGUUCAAUUUUUAGUCUCUGGACUAGUCGUAGCACUAAUAUUAAUAACAGAAUUAAUUAAAUUUGAUAUGCUUUCGGUGUUUCACUUAGCAGUUUAUGUAUGGGCCACGUUCAUAAUAGGAUAUAUUGGCGAAAGAGUGAUAACUUUAGGCGAAAAUAUCAGAGAAGCUACUUUUUACGCUUGUCCAUGGGAUGGUGAUAUUCAGAGUGUGCGGAUGCUUAUGUUUAUGAAUAUGAAUUCCUAUCGUGGAUUCGUUUUUCCUCUUGGAGAUUAUGGAUCUUAUUCGUUACCGCUUGUGCUUAGUGUAUGUAACUAAUUCAUUGAGAGAUUCAUCUUAUUCUUAUGCGACAAUUUUUCAGGUUUUCAAGUUUGCUUAUUCUAUUGUUAUGCUUUUUCUCAAUACUGCACAAAUUAAAUUAGUGUGAAUGUUUAACAGGAUGUUUAUUAUUAGAAUAGAGAAUGUUUAGGGGUAGUAGAUUAAUUUUCUGGAUUCUAAUAUUGUGGAAAUUGGGAUAAUUGUGC